rnacentral:rRNA from 1 species
GACGAACGCUGGCGGCGUGCCUAACACAUGCAAGUGGAGCGACGAACCAGGCUUCGGCCUGGGGCAAAGCCGCGAACGGGUGAGUAACACGUGGGUAACCUGCCCUGAUGAUUGAGACAACCCGAGGAAACUCGGGCUAAUACCGAAUGUGCCCUCCGGCCAUAAGGCCGCCGGGGAAAGGAAGCUUCGGCCUCCGCAUCGGGAUGGGCCCGCGGCCCAUUAGCUUGUUGGUGAGGUAACGGCUCACCAAGGCGACGAUGGGGAGCUGGUCUGAGAGGACGAUCAGCCACACUGGGACUGAGACACGGCCCAGACUCCUACGGGAGGCAGCAGUGGGGAAUCUUGCGCAAUGCGCGAAAGCGCGACGCAGCAACGCCGCGUGGGGGAAGAAGGCCUUCGGGUUGUAAACCCCUUUCAGUUGGGACGAAGCUACGCCGGUGAAUAGCCGGCCGGAGUGACGGUACCUUCAGAAGAAGCCCCGGCUAACUACGUGCCAGCAGCCGCGGUAACAC